rnacentral:rRNA from 1 species
UACGUAGGGGGCAAGCGUUGCCCGGAUUUAUUGGGCGUAAAGAGCUCGUAGGCGGCUCGGUAAGUCGGAUGUGAAACCUCCAGGCUCAACCUGGAGACGCCAUCUGAUACUGCCGUGGCUUGAGUCCGGUAGAGGAGCAGGGAAUUCCUGGUGUAGCGGUGAAAUGCGCAGAUAUCAGGAGGAACACCAGCGGCGAAGGCGCUGCUCUGGGCCGGUACUGACGCUGAGGAGCGAAAGCGUGGGGAGCGAACAGG